UUGGAGGGCAAGUCUGGUGCCAGCAGCCGCGGUAAUUCCAGCUCCAAUAGCGUAUAUUAAAGUUGUUGCAGUUAAAAAGCUCGUAGUUGAAUUUCGGGGUUAGUAGGUUGGUCAUGCCUCUGGUAUGUACUGAUCUCACUGAUUCCUCCCUCUUGACGAACUGUAAUGUCAUUAAUUUGGUGUUGCAGGAAAUCAGGACUGUUGCUUUGAAAAAAUUAGAGUGUUUAAAGCAGGCUAAGGCUUGAAUACAUUAGCAUGGAAUAAUGAAAUAGGACGUUUGAACCUAUUUUGUUGGUUUCUAGGAUCGACGUAAUGAUUAAUAGGGAUAGUUGGGGGCAUUAGUAUUCAAUUGUCAGAGGUGAAAUUCUUGGAUUUAUUGAAGACUAACUACUGCGAAAGCAUUUGCCAAGGAUGUUUUCAUUAAUCAAGAACGAAAGUUAGGGGAUCGAAGACGAUCAGAUACCGUCGUAGUCUUAACCAUAAACUAUGCCGACUAGGGAUCGGAUGAUGUUAAUUUUUUAAUGACUCAUUCGGCGCCUUACGGGAAAC
rnacentral:rRNA from 1 species